rnacentral:rRNA from 1 species
AGAGUUUGAUCCUGGCUCAGAGCGAACGCUAGCGGCGGGCUUAACACAUGCAAGUCGAGCGGAGGGGCAACCCUUAGCGGCGAACGGGUGAGUAACGCGUAGGUAACGUGCCUUCAGGUGGGGAACAACCGUGGGAAACCAUGGCUAAUACCGCAUAAUGUCGAAAGAUGAAAGCCUUCGGGCGCCUGGAGAGCGGCCUGCGUCCCAUUACCUAGUUGGUAGGGUAACGGCCUACCAAGGGAACGAUGGGUAGCUGGUCUAAGAGAUGAUCAGCCACACUGGAACUGAGACACGGUCCAGACUCCUACGGGAGGCAGCAGUGGGGAAUAUUGCGCAAUGGGGGAAACCCUGACGCAGCCACGCCGCGUGAGUGAAGAAGGCCUUCGGGUCGUAAAGCUCUGUCGGGAGAGACGAAGGGGUAAAACUCUGACGGUAUCUCGCAAGAAAGCACCGGCUAACUCUGUGCCAGCAGCCGCGGUAAUACAGAGGGUGCAAGCGUUGCUCGGAUUUACUGGGCGUAAAGCGUACGCAGACGGACCGUCAAGUCGGGAGUGAAAGCCCUGGGCUCAACCCAGGAACGGCUUUCGAUACUAGCGGUCUUGAGUUUGGGAGAGGGAAGCGGAAUUCCUGGUGUAGAGGUGAAAUCCGUAGAUAUCAGGAGGAACACCGGCGGCGAAGGCGGCUUCCUGGCCCAAUACUGACGUUCAGGUACGAAAGCGUGGGUAGCAAACAGGAUUAGAUACCCUGGUAGUCCACGCUGUAAACGAUGAGUGCUGGAUGUCGGAGGUAUUCACCCCUUCGGUAUCGAAGCUAACGCGUUAAGCACUCCGCCUGGGGAGUACGGCCGCAAGGUUGAAACUCAAAGGAAUUGACGGGGGCCCGCACAAGCGGUGGAGUAUGUGGUUUAAUUCGACGACGCGCAGAACCUUACCCAGCCUUGACAUCCUUGGAACCGAGUGGAAACACUUGGGUGCUCUCGCAAGAGAGAGCCAGGAGACAGGUGCUGCAUGGCUGUCGUCAGCUCGUGUCGUGAGAUGUUCGGUUAAGUCCGGCAACGAGCGCAACCCCUGUCUUCAGUUGCCAUCAUUUAGUUGGGCACUCUGGAGAGACUGCCGGCGUCAAGCCGGAGGAAGGUGGGGAUGACGUCAAGUCCUCAUGGCCUUUAUGGUUAGGGCUACACACGUACUACAAUGAUGACUACAAAGGGCAGCCAACCCGCGAGGGGGAGCAAAUCCCAAAAAAGUCAUCUCAGUUCGGAUUGCAGUCUGCAACUCGACUGCAUGAAGUCGGAAUCGCUAGUAAUCGCGGAUCAGCAUGCCGCGGUGAAUACGUUCCCGGGCCU